AGCGAACGCUGGCGGCAGGCCUAACACAUGCAAGUCGAACGGAUCCUUCGGGAUUAGUGGCGGACGGGUGAGUAACACGGGGGAACGUGCCCUUUGGUUCGGAACAACUCAGGGAAACUUGAGCUAAUACCGGAUGUGCCCUUCGGGGGAAAGAUUUAUCGCCAUUGGAGCGGCCCGCGUCUGAUUAGCUAGUUGGUGAGGUAAAGGCUCACCAAGGCGACGAUCAGUAGCUGGUCUGAGAGGAUGAUCAGCCACAUCGGGACUGAGACACGGCCCAAACCCCUACGGGAGGCAGCAGUGGGGAAUCUUGCGCAAUGGGCGAAAGCCUGACGCAGCCAUGCCGCGUGAAUGAUGAAGGUCUUAGGAUUGUAAAAUUCUUUCACCGGGGACGAUAAUGACGGUACCCGGAGAAGAAGCCCCGGCUAACUUCGUGCCAGCCGCCGCAGUAA
rnacentral:rRNA from 1 species